GACGAACGCUGGCGGCGUGCUUAACACAUGCAAGUCGAACGGUGAAGGGACCGGUUUUUGCUGGUUCUGGAUGAGUGGCGAACGGGUGAGUAACACGUGAGUAACCUGCCCCCUUCUUCUGGAUAACCGCAUGAAAGUGUGGCUAAUACGGGAUAUUCUGCGCCUGCUGCAUGGUGGGUGUGGGAAAGAUAUUGUUUCGGUGGGGGAUGGGCUCGCGGCCUAUCAGCUUGUUGGUGGGGUGAUGGCCUACCAAGGCGGUGACGGGUAGCCGGCCUGAGAGGGUGGACGGUCACACUGGGACUGAGACACGGCCCAGACUCCUACGGGAGGCAGCAGUGGGGAAUAUUGCACAAUGGGCGCAAGCCUGAUGCAGCGACGCCGCGGGAGGGAUGGAGGCCUUCGGGUUGUAAACCUCUUUCGCCAGUGAAGCAGGCCUGUCCCUUGUGUGGGUGGGUUGACGGUAGCUGGAUAAGAAGCGCCGGCUAACUACGUG
rnacentral:rRNA from 1 species